ensembl:rRNA 5S_rRNA 5S ribosomal RNA
GAUUACGGCCAUACCACACUGACAACGCCCGAUCUCGUCUGAUCUCGGAAGCUAAGCAUAGUUGGGCUGGGUCAGUACUUGGAUGGGUGAUAGCCUGGGAAUACCCGGUGCUGUAAACA